UACAGAGGGUGCAAGCGUUAAUCGGAAUUACUGGGCGUAAAGCGCGCGUAGGCGGCAUGUUAAGUCGGAUGUGAAAUCCCUGAGCUCAACUUAGGAAUGGCAUCCGAUACUGGCACGCUAGAGUGUGGGAGAGGAAGGUAGAAUUCCAGGUGUAGCGGUGAAAUGCGUAGAGAUCUGGAGGAAUACCGAUGGCGAAGGCAGCCUUCUGGCCUGACACUGACGCUGAGGUGCGAAAGCAUGGGGAGCAAACAGG
rnacentral:rRNA from 1 species